rnacentral:rRNA from 1 species
AAAUUGAAGAGUUUGAUCAUGGCUCAGAUUGAACGCUGGCGGCAGGCCUAACACAUGCAAGUCGAGCGGUAGCACAGAGAGCUUGCUCUCGGGUGACGAGCGGCGGACGGGUGAGUAAUGUCUGGGAAACUGCCUGAUGGAGGGGGAUAACUACUGGAAACGGUAGCUAAUACCGCAUAAUGUCGCAAGACCAAAGUGGGGGACCUUCGGGCCUCAUGCCAUCAGAUGUGCCCAGAUGGGAUUAGCUAGUAGGUGGGGUAACGGCUCACCUAGGCGACGAUCCCUAGCUGGUCUGAGAGGAUGACCAGCCACACUGGAACUGAGACACGGUCCAGACUCCUACGGGAGGCAGCAGUGGGGAAUAUUGCACAAUGGGCGAAAGCCUGAUGCAGCCAUGCCGCGUGUGUGAAGAAGGCCUUCGGGUUGUAAAGCACUUUCAGCGGGGAGGAAGGCG